UGCAGAUUUUCAGUGAAUCAUCGAAUCUUUGAACGCACCUUGCGCUCCCUGGUAUUCCGGGGAGCAUGCCUGUUUGAGUGUCAU
rnacentral:rRNA from 1 species